UUUGAUCCUGGCUCAGAACGAACGCUGGCGGCAAGCUUAACACAUGCAAGUCGAACGGAUUAUUCUUGUAGCUUGCUAUGAGAAUAAUUAGUGGCAGACGGGUGAGUAAUGCAUAGGAAUCUACCUAGUAGUAUAGGAUAGCCACUAGAAAUGGUGGGUAAUACUGUAUAAUCCCUGCGGGGGAAAGAUUUAUCGCUACAUGAUGAGCCUAUGUUAGAUUAGCUAGUUGGUGGGGUAAUGGCCUACCAAGGCAGUGAUCUAUAGCUGGUCUGAGAGGAUGAUCAGCCACACUGGAACUGAGACACGGUCCAGACUCCUACGGGAGGCAGCAGUGGGGAAUAUUGGACAAUGGGCGCAAGCCUGAUCCAGCUAUGCCGCGUGAGUGAGGAAGGCCUUAGGGUUGUAAAACUCUUUCAGUGGGGAAGAUAAUGACG
rnacentral:rRNA from 1 species